GCGCUCGUGUGAUACGGAGUUUCAUCCGGUAAAGCGAAUGAUCAGAGGAGCUGGGCUCCUUGCGAGCUCAACCUAUUCUCAAACUUUCAAUGGGUGAGACGUCUCGCUGGCUUCACUGCAGCGACGACUCUGAAUCCGAGUGCCCAGUGGGCCACUUUUGGUAAGCAGAACUGGCGAUGCGGGAUGAACCGCAUGUCGAGUUAAGGUGCCUAAGCGAACGCAAAUCAGAUACCAUGAAAGGUGUUGAUUGCUCACGACAGCAGGACGGUGAUCAUGGAAGUCGAUAUCCGCUAAGGAGUGUGUAACAACUCACCUGCCGAAGCAAUCAGCCCUGAAAAUGGAUGGCGCUAAAGCGUUCCACCGAUACUCGACCGUCGUCGGCAGGCGACGCGCUUAUGCCGCGUCUCAAGCCACGACGAGUAGGGCGGCGCGGUGGUGAGCGUCGAAGGCGUAGCCGUGAGGCUAGCUGGAGCCGCCAUCGGUGCAGAUCUUGGUGGUAGUAGCAAAUACACAAGCAAGAUCCUUGUGGACCGAUGUGGAGAAGGGUUCCGCGCGAACAGUAUUUGGACGUGGGUGAGUCGGCCCUAAGCCAACGGGUAAUUCCCGCAUCCCGUGUUGUACGCGUUUCUGAAUCGAAUAACAUGGGUUGAU
rnacentral:rRNA from 1 species